GUGAUUUUCAUGAAAUGUUCGUCUUCAUCACCUCUGGGUGUGGGUAGUAUUGAGAGUAUCAUGAAAUGCACCAGAGACGGUGAGCAGUUCAGAAAGCUGGAACCACUGCUUUAUUGAGAGCAGGCCCUUGCUGUAUGUGCAAACUCAAGCCUAUUCAAUGAUUAGAUCUCGUAAUCAGGAAAACCUAAGAGAAAAGGGAACUUUAGAAGGUCAUGAUGCUCCGGUUCUCAUCAUUACACGGCCACUCUGCACACAUCCAUGUCUUUAUCCGAGUUGACCAUAUGCACCUGAUGUGGGCUUUGCAACAGAGAAGUGAAUAGGAACCACUGUAGUGUGUAAGGGUGUGCAUGCCACAGGGUACGUAGGCGAUUUCUUUUGGGUUUGUUAUUCUUAUAUCAGGAAAAUAUACCCAGCAUGUUCAGAUGGUGACGGAAGAGGGGAAUGAACAGUUGAAGUUUAGGAAAUGCCAAAAUAUCAAGUUAGAGGAGUCAAGGAAAUUGGAGUCACAUGCCAGGAAUUGUGUCCCCUCCACCAUAAUAGAGAGGCUGUAGCUCCUCUUUCUCCCUUCAUAGACUCUCUGGGACAUUCCUGGCCACAGAAUUCCAGAGGAAUUCAAUUUUCUCUUUUUUUUCUUUCCCACUGAGCACCCACCACAAGAGUCUUGGCUGCCUCGUGUUCUGCUCCUCUGCUUUCCGAGGGUUCAUGGAGAAGGUCCUCUCAGAGUUCCUGACCACAGAUGCCGCCUCAACAUCCCAUGAGGUUUUAAAAAAAAAAAUCAUCAGGACAAUGGAGCCCUUCCCUAUUUUAUUUUUCAAUAGAUCUGAAUGGGACAGUUACCCAGGAUAACCAUUUCACUCUGUCAGUCUCUGCCAGAAAUUCUAGACAGAAAUACACCAGCUUCAAAGGACCUAGGUGCCACUCCCCAGAGGAAGCUCUGGCCAGCCUGUCCAACCGCCUUACACCACAGGGCAAGCAGGUCCAGUUGGACAAUUGUGCACAUAUGGGGACUCACAAAUGUCCACCCUGGGAAAAUACCCUAUUUGUUAGGAAACUUAUUCCACAUAUCUUUGUCUUGCUGGCACUGGGGGGGAAGUCACGCUGUGCAUAUUGUAAGCCAGUAACAGCAACACAUCCGCAUCUAGCCCCGUGAUAUAUGGUAUAAUUAGAAUUGCAAUGCACCUGAUAGAACCUGAAAUGUUGUCGAGUCUGUAGGAUAACAAAACAAGUGAAGAAUCAUUCAUACAUCGUCAUGUAAAAAAAUAAACUUUCUACCUGUGCCAAUGUCGCUAACUGUGAUGGUUAGCUUCAUGUGUUGGCGUAGCUAAAAAUCCAGUUAUUUAAACAAACACAGGUCCAGGUAUUGAUGGGAAAUUAUUUUGUAGGCACGGUUAACUUUUACAGCCAGUUGAUUCUAAGCAAUGGAAAUGACUAUGGAUAAUGUGAGCAGAUCUCAUCCAAUCAGAUGAAAGCCCUUCAAGCAAAAAAAAAAAAAAAAAAAUCCCUGAAGUUUCCUGGAGAAGAAUUUUCCAUGAGACCAACAUCAAUUGCUACUUGAAUCCACAGCCUUCCAGGGCCAUCCUAUGAAGUUCAAGCUUGCCGGCACCCACCUUUGCAUGAAACAAUUCCUUAAACUAAAUCUCUUAAUGGUCUUAAUGCUAUACAUGCAUAUCCUAUUGGUGCUGUUUCUCUGGAUAGCCUUGAAUGUUAUGCUGCAUCUCGCUAAAAAUAAUUCAGGAUCUCAUAGAUGCAAGUCAGACCUGACUGACGGGCUUGUUGCUGCCAAAGAAAAGCAGUCCUAUUCACCUCACUCUUAGACCUGGUCCUCCAAGUAGAGAUCUGCAGUGCUCACACUCAACUCCAGGUGGCGCUCUUGUUCUACGGGAAAGAGUCAGGCUCUAUGGUUGCUGGACACACCCCAGCCUCGUUCCCUGAUUUCUAGGCCUUUCAAUGACUCAGCAAUGGGAGAGAGGAAGUACAAAAUUAAGACAGCAGAAACUCCCAGCGUGCCCAAUGUACAGAAGCUAACCAAC
rnacentral:lncRNA from 1 species